rnacentral:sRNA from 1 species
ACGCUUGAUGGUAAAACUAUAUUAAUUUCACCAUAAUUACCAUAAAAAACAAUCAAAAAGAAGAUUAUGGUAUAUC